rnacentral:rRNA from 1 species
GACGAACGCUGGCGGCAGGCCUAACACAUGCAAGUCGAACGCUGUAGCAAUACAGAGUGGCAGACGGGUGAGUAACACGUGGGAAUCUUCCUAUCGGUACGGAAUAGCUCAGGGAAACUUGGGGUAAUACCGCAUACGCCCUUCGGGGGAAAGAUUUAUCGCCGAUAGAUGAGCCCGCGUCUGAUUAGCUAGUUGGUGAGGUAAUGGCUCACCAAGGCGACGAUCAGUAGCUGGUCUGAGAGGAUGACCAGCCACACUGGGACUGAGACACGGCCCAGACUCCUACGGGAGGCAGCAGUGGGGAAUAUUGGACAAAGGGCGCAAGCCUGAUCCAGCCAUGCCGCGUGAGUGACGAAGGUCUUCGGAUUGUAAAGCUCUUUUGGCGGGGACGAUAAUGACGGUACCCGCAGAAUAAGCCCCGGCUAACUUCGUGCCAGCCGCCGCAGUAA